rnacentral:rRNA from 1 species
GACGAACGCUGGCGGCGUGCUUAACACAUGCAAGUCGAACGGUGAAGCGCCUUCCUUUUUGGUUGGUGUGGAUGAGUGGCGAACGGGUGAGUAACACGUGAGUAACCUGCCCCCUUCUUCUGGAUAACCGCAUGAAAGUGUGGCUAAUACGGGAUAUUCUGCGCCUGCUGCAUGGUGGGUGUGGGAAAGAUUGUGCCUUUGGGUGUUUUCGGUGGGGGAUGGGCUCGCGGCCUAUCAGCUUGUUGGUGGGGUGAUGGCCUACCAAGGCGGUGACGGGUAGCCGGCCUGAGAGGGUGGACGGUCACACUGGGACUGAGACACGGCCCAGACUCCUACGGGAGGUAGCAGUGGGGAAUAUUGCACAAUGGGCGCAAGCCUGAUGCAGCGACGCCGCGUGAGGGAUGGAGGCCUUCGGGUUGUGAACCUCUUUCGCCAGUGAAGCAGGCCUGCUCCUUGUGGGUGGGUUGACGGUAGCUGGAUAAGAAGCGCCGGCUAACUACGUG